UACGUAGGGUGCAAGCGUUGUCCGGAAUUAUUGGGCGUAAAGAGCUCGUAGGCGGUCUGUCGCGUCGGCUGUGAAAACCCGGAGCUCAACUCCGGGCCUGCAGUCGAUACGGGCAGACUGGAGUUCGGCAGGGGAGACUGGAAUUCCUGGUGUAGCGGUGAAAUGCGCAGAUAUCAGGAGGAACACCGGUGGCGAAGGCGGGUCUCUGGGCAACAACUGACGCUGAGGAGCGAAAGCGUGGGGAGCGAACAGGA
rnacentral:rRNA from 1 species